rnacentral:rRNA from 1 species
CCUACGGGAGUCAGCAGUGGGGAAUAUUGCACAAUGGGGGAAACCCUGAUGCAGCGACGCCGCGUGAGUGAAGAAGUAAUUCGUUACGUAAAGCUCUAUCAGCAGGGCAGAAAAUUACGGUUCCUGAGUAAGAAGCCCCGGCUAACUACUGUCCAGCAGCAGCGGUACUACGUUGGGGGCAAGCGUGAUCCGGAUUGACUGGGUUGAAAGGCAGCUUAGACGGUGCGUCAAUUCUUGAGUGAAAUGCCGCAGGUUAAAUGCGGAACUGUUUUUGAAACCGGCGAACUAGAGUGCGGAAGGGGUAAGCGGAAUUCCUAGUGAAGCGGUGAAAUGCGUAGAUAUUAGGAGGAACACCGGUGGCGAAGGCGGCUUACUGGACCGUAACUGACGUUGAGGCUCGAAAGCGUGGGGAGCAAACAGGAUUAGAUACCCGUGUAGUC